AGCGAGCGCCAAAACGUAUCGCAAGCGUGCGAGCAACAGAGAGCCAGAGACGUCGAGGCAGACAGAGAUGGAGCGUGCGCAGCGCUCUCUCAUCGCUGCCUUUUGAGUUUUGGACUUGCGGGCACGCCAGCGCUGCUGACGCCGACAGAGCUGCACUGCAAUACUGCACUUGAGCGACAGUCGACGGCGAAAGUCUGCGUCUGUUGCCGGGCGAAUUGAGGGGGAGAGAGAGAGAGAGAGAGAGAGUCAGAGCGAGAACAGCAAAGCGAAAUGAUUAAACGAGCAGAGGAAAUCAAUUGCAAAUGUAGGCAAAAUUGAAUUUGAUUUUUCUGAUGAGAACAAAUUCGAUUAAUAAAGUUGUUCUUAGCAAUUAGGUUUGACAACAAUAUUGCUCGUUUAGAAUUUUAAUUGCUUGGCCGUUCACUGUUUGCAUGCACUGUGUGCGAACGUCUCAUGCAAGCGGUGUUGGUAAGUGUCGCAUUGUUACUUUGGACUUGAAUUGUAUUUCAACAUGUGAAAAUGACGUUUCGAAAUUGGUGUAAUCACAUACAAAGUGUUUAUUUGCAUUUGCAAUGGGCGUGCCCGCCGGGAGGCUGGUUGGCUGGUAGACUGAACGGGCGGUCAGAUGCUGGCAGAUGGCGCGAGAGCAUCGAAAUGAGAGUGCAUGCAAAGAGAACAAACUGAAGAGAGAGAGAGAGACUGGGAGAGCGGGAGAGCGGGAGAGUACACGCUUGAGAGGACGCACAAUGCUUGACAACUAGAUUAACACGCAGAGCAUUCCCCCUCCACCCCGCACACAACCAUUUAUUAUCAAUUGUUUUGCUGUGUUUGUGUGUGUGCGUGCAUGACCUUUGACCCAACACAGAAUACUAGAACAUACAGCCGCGAUAACACGCAGUGCACUGUGCUUGACCAACACUAACAGAAUAGAAGAUCAUGUCAUCAGAGACGGAGAUGGCGCCAUGGCUGGCGUAUUACAAGUGCGUAUGUACUUACACACAUAUAUAUACAUACCUAUGUGUAUACAUACACACAUGUAUGUACUUAACUUAACAUAUACGUAUACGUAAUAUUUGCUCUGCUCAAUGUAAUUGCAGCGCAGUUCCAAAGUUCAAGCAACGGGUUCUGACUAAAUGACUUGUGCUACAAACGAACAGCUAAGCGUUGAAAUGCUACAGCAUAAGCUGCACGACUAGUGAAUACCCUGUAGCAGUAACUUUACAUGAUCUCACAUUCACACAUGCUAGAUAUGCACAGAUAUUAUAUCAAAUAUCAGCAAUUCAAUACAAAUAAUAUAUUUAUCGAAUGAUCGACUAAACGAUCAGAUAGAUACUUUAAAAUCAGGUAUAAUUGAAGUAAUAUAAGGCUCGAAUAAUCUACGUCUAACCCAUGCGUUUUGUAAGCGAAUUACAAAUUGCAUUCGCAUUAUAAAAAGCUAUCUAAUAUAAAGAGUAUAAUAUAAAUAAAUUCAAUUCGAAGUCUACAUUUCAUAAAAUUGUGGAAGAAAAUGGGAUGCUAUCGAUAACACAAUGAUCUCACUGACAUAUAGAAUAAAAUAUACACUUCGAAUAUAUAGUCUCAUUUAUCGGGAUAACUUCAGAAAUUAAUAAAUACGGUAUCGAUAUUUAUCGGUAUAUUGGUUUAUC